CCACCGGCGGACGGCUCAGUAACACGUCGGUAACCUACCCUCGGGAAGGGGAUAACCCCGGGAAACUGGGGCUAAUUCCCCAUAGGCCUGAGGUACUGGAAGGUCCUCAGGCCGAAAGGGACUUAUGUCCGCCCGAGGAUGGGCCGGCGGCCGAUUAGGUAGUUGGUGGGGUAAUGGCCCACCAAGCCGAAGAUCGGUACGGGCUGUGAGAGCAGGAGCCCGGAGAUGGACGCUGAGACACGGGUCCAGGCCCUACGGGGCGCAGCAGGCGCGAAACCUCCGCAAUGCGGGAAACCGCGACGGGGGGACCCCGAGUGCCGUGGCAACGCCACGGCUUUUCCGGAGUGUAAAAAGCUCCGGGAAUAAGGGCUGGGCAAGGCCGGUGGCAGCCGCCGCGGUAAUACCGGCGGCCCGAGUGGUGGCCGCUAUUAUUGGGCCUAAAGCGUCCGUAGCCGGGCCCGUAAGUCCCUGGCGAAAUCCCACGGCUCAACCGUGGGGCUUGCUGGGGAUACUGCGGGUCUUGGGACCGGGAGAGGCGGGGGGUACCCCUGGGGUAGGGGUGAAAUCCUAUAAUCCCAGGGGGACCGCCAGUGGCGAAGG
rnacentral:rRNA from 1 species